rnacentral:tRNA from 1 species
GUCGUGGUGGUUGAGUGGUUAAGUGCUUGGCUUCCGAAUAGGGGGUCCUGGGUUCGAAUCCCGGUCAAGACU